rnacentral:lncRNA from 1 species
GCAUUCUUUUGUUGCCUUUGUCCCGAAGAUAUCCUUAUCUGAGCUGGUACAUUUCAUUCUAUGCCCUAACUGGAGCAUUCCAGAUAUGGGCAAGAACACACCUACUGUUGUAUCACAAGCAGUGACAUGUUUUUAGUGUAUGAUUUGCUGGCAGGUUAUUUAAGCCUUCAGCCCACAAAAGACUUUCAGAAUUGUGUACCUACGUACCUUAUAGCAGAGUUCAGUGCAGGUAUAGUCUAUUGCUUCCCAGUUCCUGGAGGCACCCCAAAGGCAGUAGAAGAUAAUCAUCAAGGAAAACCUUAAGGAACAUCUGGGAAAUGGACAGAUGGGAAAAAAGGAUACCGGCAUAUCUGUUCCACAGAUACCUGGUUCCAAGAAGUCAAAAUUCCAAGCUCUUCCAUGCAGACGUCUGUGUCAUCAUCUCUGCCUUUGAUAAUAAUUUUGUUCUUGGGAGAAGCCACUUCAGAGAAGAACUUCUGGGGCUCCACACUGGUGCAUGUUGGCCCCCUGCAUAGGCUGGUGCCUCAUCCCUUCUGAGUAAGAGGAGGACGGAAGAUCUUGGAGAAGGAAGAAAAGAAUGGGAGGAAGCAAGCAGCAUUGCUGGAGUGGCAUGCACAGG